UGGAGCCGACCUUGAAAUACCACCCUUUAAUGUUUGAUGUUCUAACGUUGACCCGUAAUCCGGGUUGCGGACAGUGUCUGGUGGGUAGUUUGACUGGGGCGGUCUCCUCCUAAAGAGUAACGGAGGAGCACGAAGGUUGGCUAAUCCUGGUCGGACAUCAGGAGGUUAGUGCAAUGGCAUAAGCCAGCUUGACUGCGAGCGUGACGGCGCGAGCAGGUGCGAAAGCAGGUCAUAGUGAUCCGGUGGUUCUGAAUGGAAGGGCCAUCGCUCAACGGAUAAAAGGUACUCCGGGGAUAACAGGCUGAUACCGCCCAAGAGUUCAUAUCGACGGCGGUGUUUGGCACCUCGAUGUCGGCUCAUCACAUCCUGGGGCUGAAGUAGGUCCCAAGGGUAUGGCUGUUCGCCAUUUAAAGUGGUACGCGAGCUGGGUUUAGAACGUCGUGAGACAGUUCGGUCCCUAUCUGCCGUGGGCGCUGGAGAACUGAGGGGGGCUGCUCCUAGUACGAGAGGACCGGAGUGGACGCAUCACUGGUGUUCGGGUUGUCAUGCCAAUGGCACUGCCCGGUAGCUAAAUGCGGAAGAGAUAAGUGCUGAAAGCAUCUAAGCACGAAACUUGCC
rnacentral:rRNA from 1 species